rnacentral:lncRNA from 1 species
AGCUUUACAGCCCAAUAAAAAUUUUCACACACCAAUACUAAUAUAAUAAUAAUAAAUAAAAAAAUAAUAAUGAUUAUUACUCAUAUAAAUCUCAUGUCGAAAGAUAUCGCAAUUCAUAAAAUAUGCAUAGCAAAUAUUUAUAUUUUUACAUAAUAAAUGACAUCUUAUAAUUAUCUUAAGACUACCAUAAUCACGUAUCCGAUCAUAUUAAGGUGCUCAACUCUAGACUACCACGAUCACAUAUCAAGUCUGUGAUAAGACAACAAAAGUGGCUAGUCCUGUGGACUACCACAACCACUUGUGCAAAGGGUGAUAAAGUGGAUAGUCUUGUGGACUACCACGAUCAUGUUUCAAGCCCGUGAUAGGCAUCAAGAAAAUAGAUAGCCCAAAGGACUACAGAUGCUCAACUUUGAACUACCACCAAUGUUUCAAGCCCACGGCGGGAUCUCAUAAAGUGGCUAGUCCACUGGUCCAAAAGACCCCU